rnacentral:rRNA from 1 species
ACGCAACGCCGCGUGGGGGAUGAAGGUCUUCGGAUUGUAAACCCCUGUCGAAUGGGACGAAAGACUCGCGAGUUAAUACUGCGCGAGAGUGACGGUACCGUUAAAGGAAGCCACGGCUAACUCUGUGCCAGCAGCCGCGGUAAUACAGAGGUGGCAAGCGUUGUUCGGAAUUACUGGGCGUAAAGGGCGCGUAGGCGGCCCACUAAGUCAGACGUGAAAUCCCCCGGCUUAACCUGGGAACUGCGUCUGAUACUGGAGGGCUUGAGUAUGGGAGAGGGAUGUAGAAUUCCAGGUGUAGCGGUGAAAUGCGUAGAUAUCUGGAGGAAUACCGGUGGCGAAGGCGGCAUCCUGGACCAUUACUGACGCUGAGGCGCGAAAGCUAGGGGAGCAAACGGGAUUAGAUACCCCGGUAGUCCUAGCCCUAAACGAUGAAUACUUGGUGUGGCGGGUAUCGAUCCCUGCCGUGCCGAAGCUAACGCAUUAAGUAUUCCGCCUGGGGAGUACGGUCGCAAGGCUG